rnacentral:sRNA from 1 species
UAUUAGUUAAAGAAUGCAAAUUGAAAAGGUAUAUUACACUUUAUUCGAAUAUAGUAUCAAAACUUAUAUAACACAGAAAUUUGAUAAUUUUUUAAUUGUUGAAUAUUUUUUUUGUGCUAAUUUUUAUGUGAUUAAGAUUUAAUUGAUUUCGUAUAAAA